UCCGUCUGAGGUUGAUUGCCAAUGUGGAUGUGGUCAAGGUGAAACCAUCACUGGAGCUUCAUCUGAACUCCUGCAAAACAAGUCCUCAUCGGGGAUGGUGUUCUUUGAUGAAGAUCCUUCGAUCUUCAAGUCAGGAGAUGGAGAAUAAUAAGAGAAGUGAGUGAGGAGUUGAUUGCAUACCUUGGAGAGUUUUAGAGCCUUAAUUUAUAGGGGAGGAGUUUGAGUCAUAUCCAUGUUGGAGUCUUGAUUGUUUUCGAAUUUGUAGCAUAGAUUGAUUUAGAAAAGAUAUUUACCUUUUAUGGGAGACUCGAUCAUAGAGGAGUUCUACUUUAUCUGAACUUUCUCAAUUUGAAGGAGGGACGUAACUAGUGAGGAGAUUAGGUUGACAUGAUCGAACUAUAAUAGAUCAUCCA
rnacentral:lncRNA from 1 species